rnacentral:rRNA from 1 species
AUAUCGGAACAUGUCCGGAAGUGGGGGAUAACGUAGCGAAAGUUACGCUAAUACCGCAAAUGCCCCGAGGGGGAAAGGGGGGGAUCGCUAGACCUCUCGCUUUCGGAGUGGCCGAUAUCGGAUUAGCUAGUUGGUGAGGUAAAGGCUCACCAAGGCGACGAUCCGUAGCUGGUCUGAGAGGACGACCAGCCACACUGGAACUGAGACACGGUCCAGACUCCUACGGGAGGCAGCAGUGGGGAAUUUUGGACAAUGGGCGCAAGCCUGAUCCAGCCAUACCGCGUGAGUGAAGAAGGCCUUCGGGUUGUAAAGCUCUUUCAGCCGGAAAGAAAUCGUGCAGAUUAAUACUCUGUAUGGAUGACGGUACCGGAAGAAGAAGCACCGGCUAACUACGUGCCAGCAGCCGCGGUAAUACGUAGGGUGCGAGCGUUAAUCGGAAUUACUGGGCGUAAAGCGUGCGCAGGCGGUUUGGUAAGACAGACGUGAAAUCCCCGGGCUUAACCUGGGAACUGCGUUUGUGACUGUCAGACUAGAGUGUAGCAGAGGGGGGUAGAAUUCCACGUGUAGCAGUGAAAUGCGUAGAUAUGUGGAGGAAUACCAAUGGCGAAGGCAGCCCCCUGGGUUAACACUGACGCUCAUGCACGAAAGCGUGGGGAGCAAACAGGAUUAGAUACCCUGGUAGUCCACGCCCUAAACGAUGUCAACUAGGUGUUGGGGAAGGAGACUUCUUUAGUACCGCAGCUAACGCGUGAAGUUGACCGCCUGGGGAGUACGGUCGCAAGAUUAAAACUCAAAGGAAUUGACGGGGACCCGCACAAGCGGUGGAUUAUGUGGAUUAAUUCGAUGCAACGCGAAAACCUUACCUACCCUUGACAUGUCAGGAAGUUUCCAGAG